CACGUAGGGUGCGAGCGUUGUCCGGAAUUAUUGGGCGUAAAGAGCUCGUAGGCGGUGUGUCGCGUCGGCCGUGAAAACCUGCAGCUUAACUGUGGGCUUGCGGUCGAUACGGGCAUCACUGGAGUUCGGCAGGGGAGACUGGAAUUCUGGUGUAGCGGUGAAAUGCGCAGAUAUCAGGAGGAACACCGGUGGCGAAGGCGGGUCUCUGGGCCGAUACUGACGCUGAGGAGCGAAAGCGUGGGGAGCGAACAGG
rnacentral:rRNA from 1 species